UCCAGGUCACCAAUACCCUUUGCGAUGCACAUUGCUAACCCUGCUGCAUGCCACAGCGACUGGAGGAACGGACAAAUAACCCUGCCAGGUAUUCCACCCUAUUUCUCAGUUAAUUUGUUAAAAAUCAACCAGGAGUGUUGUGGAUGGUAAAGCUGCUGGGAAGAGAAAACCACUGUAAAGAACAAACACUCAGAAAAGAGCUUUCAAUGCAUCUGCUUUCUUGGCAUGCCUCAUGGUAUGUAACAAGCGGCAUCGGUUACAGUUAGCUCAUCAUUUUCUGUAGCAGUUCUGCCCAGUGACUGGUAUUUGGGUGUCCCAGGCGGAGCAAGCACGGCUCAGAGCUCUCAGGCAGCACAGCCACCGUGAGGGGUGCAGAGCCCCAAGCCAAGAGCCUCGUGCUGUCCCCUGCAGCCAUGUGGCACCACGGCCAGCCCAAACCCAGAGAGACCCGCAAUGCUGGGGGGUGCAGCCAGUGGUGACAAGCUGUGCAGCAGCAGCUCCAGGCUGACACAGUUUGUGCCAGCAGCCAGCGGCAUUCAUCUGGAAUGAUCCCCACUGGCAUUUGCUGCAGGAUAAAUAUUGUCUGGGAUUUUUCAUUAUCUUCCCUGGGCAGCAAUGACACAGCAGUGACGUUGUUUUGAGCUCUGUAUUUCCAGCCUCCCACCACCAGCCAGAACUAGUAAGGGGAUUUGAGUCAUUUUUCUGAACAUAAGCAUUUGCUGAUACUUGCGAAAGCCAAGAACAUCCACACAAGGGAUUUGCAUGGGACUGGCAGACAUGACAAAGGACCUGUGGAAGAUCUCUGGUCUUCUGGAGUGCCAGGUCUGUCCAGGUUUUCGACUGGACAUGGCUCCAGCAAGGCAGCAUGAGGCUCGUUCCUCGAGGCUGUCCCUCUCACACCGCAGGAAGUCAGCUGCAGAAGGAAUAUUGAGGAGAGCUGAUGGGGAGCAGCUCCUGAUACCCCAUAGAUAUUUUUCUACUUCAAUAUUACUUUACUAAGAGGCCUCAGAAUAGUCUGAGGACCAGGGACUGUGUUCCAGCCUUUUGGUGUGCCACCCAAGACUCGAGAUUGCAGGGAAGAAUUCAGACUGUCCGUGGGGAUCUUCUGCCCUUUCCUGCCUACAAAGUGAGUGGAGAGAAGCAAGACCAACUGAGAAACGGACUGGCAUGUCCUGCUUUCUCAUUGCUGACUGCAAGGAGGAGCAGCAUCUGGCCCAGUACUGAGUCAGUCAUUCUAUCUUGAAUGCGCAUGCCAGCGUGGACAUGCAAAACCACCUUAGGGCCUGUGAGACGGGACUGCGAUAUAAGCAUCUAGAAUUACAUUGUCAGCUUUGGGGGAAUGCAAACCCAAUGAUGUUAACCCAGCAGUGUGCCCCUUCCUCUUCACUGUUCCCACCCCCGCAAAUUUGCUGAGCUAAAGGAUCAUAAACUGCUGAGUUCUGCCUUCUGUUUGCCAAAACCGCUCAAGAAUCGAAGGGCAGACAAUUCUUGGGGGUUAUGACCUGAUCCUGUCAUCGUCAUCACUACCAUAAGGGGGGAAAAAAAAAAUAUCUAUUUUUCCA